UACGAGGGGGGCAAGCGUUGUUCGGAAUUAUUGGGCGUAAAGCGUCCGCAGGUGGCAAUUCAAGUCUGCUGUUAAAGGUUCUGGCUCAACCAGAGACAGGCAGUGGAAACUGAAUAGCUAGAGUGCGGUAGGGGCAGAGGGAAUUCCCAGUGUAGCGGUGAAAUGCGUAGAGAUUGGGAAGAACACCGGUGGCGAAAGCGCUCUGCUAGGCCGUAACUGACACUCAUGGACGAAAGCUAGGGGAGCGAAUGGG
rnacentral:rRNA from 1 species